rnacentral:rRNA from 1 species
UACGGAGGGUGCGAGCGUUGUCCGGAAUCAUUGGGCGUAAAGGGCGCGUAGGUGGCCCGGUCAGUUCGUGGUGAAAGCGCGGGGCUCAACCCUGCGUCGGCCAUGAAUACUGCCGCGGCUGGAGCACUGUAGAGGCAGGCGGAAUUCCGGGUGUAGCGGUGGAAUGCGUAGAGAUCCGGAGGAACACCAGAGGCGAAGGCGGCCUACUGGGCUGCACCUGACGCUGAGCCGCGAAAGCCAGGGAGCGAACGGG